UUUCAACAAUAGCUCAGGUGGCAGAGCAUGAGACUCUUAAUCUCAGGGUCACGAGUUUAAGCCCCACAUUGGGCAAAA